AUAAGAAAAACAAAAGUAGAAGAGAAGAUGAUCAAGACUAGUAAUAAAGUGUAAUGAACGAGAAGAGAGAUUGGAAGUAGGGAGCAAGGACCCAAGACUGGCAAAAUUUUGAUCGUCGGCGAGAAACAAUUAAAGUUUGAGUACGAUGAUGAUAUUUAAGCAACCGUUUUUUCAAAGCCCAAU
rnacentral:sRNA from 1 species